rnacentral:rRNA from 1 species
GUCCACAGCAAUACCACCCUGAACGUGCCCAAUCUCAUCUGAUCUGGAAGCUAAGGAGGAUCGGGCCUGGUUGGGAGAGGAGGCAGAGGUCA